UAUAAUCUCAUGCCUCUGGUGUUAUUUGGGAACAGAGUUGAGGAGGAAAAUGGCUCUCAGGAAGGCUCUUCCCCUUCCAUUGGGGGAUUCCUGCAGCUCCCCAGACUACUUUGCUCUGGGCAUGUAGGGGGGCUGAUCAGCAGAGCCCUGAUCCGCUGCCUCCUUGUCCUGUUAGGAAAACCCAGCUGAAAUCUGACUGUCUUCUGGAAUACUUUCUUAAUCAAAACUCUCAAGAGUGCCUCUGUGGUGGGGAACAAGGCUCACGUUGAGGCUUCUGCCUCUUCUGGGCUGUAGUGACAGAGCUACAGUGGAGGGGAGAUGGUUGGGCUUUCCAGGUAAGCCAUGAUCAUAUGGUUGACUUCAAUGUGUACGUAGUUUGCAGCCCUGUUAAUCAAAAAUCUGUGGAAGGUGAUCUGAGGUGGUGUUCCAACAAAGUCCAGGCCUGAUAACAGAGAGCUGAGCUUUUUAAUCAGUCAGUUGUGGGAUAUCUACAUUAUCUGUGUGGAGCAGCAGGCUGUUAGUUAAAUAUUGAUUUAGCAGAGGAGCUGUUCUCUUCCUGUUUGACCUCUGACUGCAAACACUGUGCUGCAGGUGGUAGGGACGUGCUUGUUGAGUUUUCCUUGGUUUUAAUUUAGAGGUAGUUUAAUAUGAGGGGCAAGGAAUAUUAAUAUAAUAUUUAAACUUCAAACUAACAAACAAAAGACUAUUUUUCAAACCAAGUUCUAUCUAGUGGCACCAGACCUCUCUCAAGUCUGACCAAAGUCCAGUCAACGUGGUAAAAGUUGAUGGGGAGAUCCUGGCUGUAGAAGAAGGGGCAUCUUUUUAACACUGCCUAAAACCAAUUUGCAAUGUUUAUUUCAGGACACAGGAGGCUCACACUGCUCCUGUUUCGUAUUUGGCUACACUUUACUCUGACGAAGCAGAGCACUGGGGCCGGCUAUCACUUGUCAGCCGAAGAUCCUCUCUGCAAAUCCCCCGUGUGUCAGUCGUCUUUUGUGCUUUAUUGUCUACCGUGACCAUAUGGACAUUUGUUUGACAGGAGUCUGUGACCCUCAAACAGUUUGGCUCUGCUCUGUUACGUGGUGUCUGACCAGGCUAUUGAAACCGAGCAACCAGCAGAACACUGCUUAAAGAGUCAUCUCUGUGGAUGGAGGAUGAACAUUAAUAUUCAUGAGCUGUUACUCAUUUACGCUGGAGUUGCUCAGGGACCUGUGCUCUUCAAGGAUGACAUUACAGUGACUUCCCUGCUCUUUACUUUAUGUGAAUACUUUUGAUUUGGAGCCCUGGUGUGCCAAAUCCUACUCGUAUUUUCAUUCAUGAGUUGCCUACCUGGAGUCAAAAUAGUAUUCUCAAAACCGUGCAAAGCUGAAUUAGGUUCUGGAUAUAACUUUGAAUACUUUUUCAUUGAUAUGUAAUAAUAAACUGCUGAUUUUAGAAACUGUGCCAUAAAAACUGCAAUGCUGUGCAAAGGCCAACACACAUUCCAUGUUUAUAUAAUAAAAAGUAUGUCCCAGUAUGUUGCUAAAUAUUGACAAAAUGAUUCCUUUGUCAGUGUUAUUUACCAAGCAUGGGUUUCCUGUAUCUGUUAUCCCAGAUAAACAUGAAAACAGCUUUCUGAGCCUAAACCUUGGUUGAAAAAACCUCACCCAGACAACAAAGGCCACAACAGCAUUCUGCUAUCCAAUCGCUUUCUUCAUGUUUUACAUUGGUACAAAUUAGUAUCCAUGGGUACUACUGUAGCAUAAUUUAAUAAUGAACAGUUGUAUCAGCUUUCUUUUUGUGAUAUAUGUGCACCCUUUUCCUCACUUUUCUGGUAAUGUUGCUAAGGACUGCUGUAUGUAUGAAGUUCCUCACGGGUCAGUAUUGGGACUGGCACUCUUUAACAUCUUUGUUGGCAACAUGGACAGUG